rnacentral:lncRNA from 1 species
GUCCUCCCCAGAUUUUGUUGCGUCUAAUUUUGGGGUUGCUUCCAGUCCUGUAAACAGAAUAGACAAUAAUACCAUUUCAAUAGCUUCUACUCCCAUAUCUUCAUGUUACGUGAGGUAAACAGUGGAGAAAUCCACAUAAGUCACUUAGUAAGAAUUAACUAUACAAUGGAGUCCAAGAUGCCCUGAGAAGAAAGUGGUUUAAUUUUGCUUAAUCCUGUAUUUCCCACAGAACAUACUUUACUACAGAUUAUUAUUGUAGAGUUUCCUAACAUGUAAACUAAAUGGGGUUAUAUUAAGUGACAUAUAUUCCCCUCAUAUGUAAAAUGAAGGACUGAAUUACAGGCAUGCCUUGGAGAUAACUGCAGGUUCCGUUCCAGACCACCAUAAUAAAGCGAGUAUUGCAAUAAAGAGAGUCGCAUCAAUUUUUUGGUUUACAUUAUACUGUAGUCUAUUAAGUAUGCAAUAGCAUUUCAUAAAAAAAAGCACAUACCCUAACUUAAAAAUACUUUAUCGCUAAAAAAAUGCU